AGGGCAACCAUCACUUACCACAGGCCAGGGGCCGUGACAGUAUUGACGUGCCCCAUCUCACCUGUCGGGGACACGGAGGGCCAAGCGUCAUCUUCCCUGUGGCAGGACACGUGAGCAGAGCCUGAAAGUCCAAGCGGGAAUCAACAAAGGCAGACACAGAACUGGAGUGGUGGGCCACACGGUCUGCCUGGGAAGCCCCGCGGCCAGUCCUCCUGCGGAGCCCAGACCCCCAACCCGCCUGUCAGAGAGAAGAAGAUCCUCCAUCCCUGCCCUUAAGGGUCACACAGCAUCGCUGGGAAACAGGACAUGGACAGAUGACACACCUGGAGAAGCAAGAGGUGAACGGUGAAUAUACUGUGCUGAAAGCACCGGGGAGAGAAGCAGUCCCUUCUGGAGAACACGAUCUGGGAACACAAAGAAUGGGGGAGAAAAGCUGCCUUCACUAACACGAAACCCACUCCAUUUCAAUGAAGAUGAGUUUUUCAGUAAACAUGCUAUUUGAUGUUUGCCAAAACUGAAGCAUUCUAAAAUGUAUCAAAACCAGGAUAAUUAAAGAGAAGAGAACCACAAAAAUGACCCCAAUGUCACUAGCUAAAUAAGACUCAGAAUGGCCCUUCAUUUCUUGGGUUGGCCAACUCCAUUGUGUAAUAUCAAAGAGGAUGUUAAUGGAAAUUUACUGACCUAUAGUUUCAAAUCUGCAUAUCAGAAAAGGGCAGCAGGUAAAACAUACUUUGAAUACAUUCGUUUGGAAUUAGUUGUGCUUCACAUUUAAGAGUUCUACAAUUCACUGUUGCAGCUUAACAUUUAAUACAAGCCUGAGAUCCAGUUCUGGAUAAGGAACAUAGGGUCAUUCAAGAAUUGGAGAGAAGAUUUGCAUUUCAUACAAGUCAGUUCUGUCUGAGAAUAAAUCAGACACUCUAAAGCUAAUUUCCUUUAAGAACCACUGGAUAAUUACAUUUCAAUGUUGCUCUAACAAGCUGUAAAGCAACAAAACACAAACUUUGUGAAAAUGAUGAUGAUAUUGACCACCAUUUACCCCAGGUAGCAUGUGUCGGGCACCAUGCUUGGGCCUGUACACACACUAUCUCCAUAAAUAUUUACAUCACUG